GGUUGUGUAGUGUAGCGGUUAUCACUCCGGAUUCUGAUUCUCAUCAGGAGCUUUCCGGCAACCCCGGUUCGAUUCCGGGCACGACCU